rnacentral:rRNA from 1 species
UAGCUAGUUGGUGAGGUAACGGCUUACCAAGGCGACGAUCUGUAGCGGGUCUGAGAGGAUGAUCCGCCACACUGGAACUGAGACACGGUCCAGACUCCUACGGGAGGCAGCAGUGGGGAAUUUUGGACAAUGGGGGCAACCCUGAUCCAGCCAUGCCGCGUGAGUGAAGAAGGCCUUCGGGUUGUAAAGCUCUUUCGGCCGGGAAGAAAUCGCAUGGGCCAAUACCCUGUGUGGAUGACGGUACCGGAAUAAGAAGCACCGGCUAGCUACGUGCCAGCAGCCGCGGUAAUACGUAGGGUGCGAGCGUUAAUCGGAAUUACUGGGCGUAAAGCGUGCGCAGGCGGUUUUGUAAGACAGGCGUGAAAUCCCCGGGCUCAACCUGGGAACUGCGUUUGUGACUGCAAGGCUAGAGUACGGCAGAGGGGGGUGGAAUUCCACGUGUAGCAGUGGAAUGCGUAGAGAUGUGGAGGAACACCAAUGGCGAAGGCAGCCCCCUGGGUCGAUACUGACGCUCAUGCACGAAAGCGUGGGUAGCAAACAGGAUUAGAUACCCUGGUAGUCCACGCCCUAAACUAUGUCAACUAGGUGUUGGGUGGGUAAAACCAUUUAGUACCGUAGCUAACGCGUGAAGUUGACCGCCUGGGGAGUACGGCCGCAAGGUUAAAACUCAAAGGAAUUGACGGGGACCCGCACAAGCGGUGGAUGAUGUGGAUUAAUUCGAUGCAACGCGAAAAACCUUACCUACCCUUGACAUGCCAGGAACUUGCCAGAGAUGGCUUGGUGCCCGAAAGGGAGCCUGGACACAGGUGCUGCAUGGCUGUCGUCAGCUCGUGUCGUGAGAUGUUGGGUUAAGUCCCGCAACGAGCGCAACCCUUGUCGUUAAUUGCCAUCAUUUAGUUGGGCACUUUAGCGAGACUGCCGGUGACAAACCGGAGGAAGGUGGGGAUGACGUCAAGUCCUCAUGGCCCUUAUGGGUAGGGCUUCACACGUCAUACAAUGGUCGGUACAAAGGGUCGCCAAGCCGCGAGGUGGAGCCAAUCCCAGAAAGCCGAUCGUAGUCCGGAUUGCAGGCUGCAACUCGCCUGCAUGAAGUCGGAAUCGCUAGUAAUCGUGGAUCAGCAUGUCACGGUGAAUACGUUCCCGGGUCUUGUACACACCGCCCGUCACACCAUGGGAGCGGGUUCCGCCAGAAGUAGGUAGCCUAACCGUAAGGAGGGCGCUUACCACGGCGGGGUUCGUGACUGGGGUGAAGUCGUAACAAGGUAGCCGUAGGGGAACCUGCGGCUG